rnacentral:lncRNA from 1 species
AGGCAGGAGAAUCGCUUGAGCCUGACAGGAAGAGGCUGCAGAGAGCCGAGAUAGCGCCACCGCACUCCAGCCUGGUGAAAGAGCGAGACUCCGUCUCAAAAAAAAAAAAAAAAAAAAUAGCAUUGCUGUGCUUGUGUUCUUCUCAUCACUGAAUAUAUUACAUAAUAUAAUCACUGAAUAUAUUACAUAAUAUAAUCAUAAUAAAAUAUUUAAAAUAUAAAAAUUGAAAGAAAAUGACAACAAACUCAACUGUAUUUAGGUGAUGAAUAUAGAGUGAUUUCCCCCUUUUUCUUCCAAUUUCUGUAUAUUCCAAAUGGAAAAGUUAGAAAGAAUUCAUCAUACACAUGUAAAUGCUUUUGAAAAAUUAAAAUGCUACAGAAUUAUCUGAGUCUAGAGAUUACUCUUUCAUAACUUUUUCAAUUAUUGUCUUUAGGGUAGGGUUGGUUUAUUUAGAUUUUUCUACUUCUUAAAUGAAUUUUGGAACUAAUAUUUUUUCCCAGAAAAUCACUAAUUUCAUUGAGAUUUUCAAAAAUGUUAGCAGGCUACUUUCCUCUUCAUCUGCUAUUUGUGAUUUAUAAUGUUUAAAUGUUUUCUCUCAAUUGGAUUUACCAUAGGCUUGUUGCUUUUAUGGGCUUGUUAACAAAGAUUUUUGUAUUUAUUUAUUAAUGUCACUAUUUUUCUAUUUUCUAAUCCAUUUUAUUCUGCUUUUACUUUUAUUUUUUUCCAACUUUUUCCUUGGGGGCAGAGGAGGCUUUCUCCUUUUUGUAAAAUUCCUUGAGUUGGAUGUUUAGUUCAUUUAUUUUCUUUCUUUUUUCUAUAAUGAAAGCAAGUGAGAAUAUAUAUCUACCAAGUACUGUUAUUUUUUAAAUAGUCCACUGUGGGGAUUUGUGUGAGGCAGGGGUGAGAAGGUUGGGGGCUUUCUGUUUUUGUAGUUUUGGAAGAUACAGGGGGAGGAGAGGAAGGUCCUGCUUGUCAUAUACCAUACUGUAUACUUAGGCCUUAACGAAGAGGUCAGAGAGGCUUUAUCCUAGUACAAGAAGAAUACACCUAAGCUGAGAAUAGAGCCAGGAUUUUAACAAGAUCUGCAACAGUGAUUCCCUACCAGAAGAUUUGUCUAAUCUGAAAAAUUAUUUUGAGCUAAGAUGUUCCUAGCUGCUAUCUGGAAAGGAUGACAUUUAAUUAUAUUUAAUGUAAAGAAGCCUUUCAGUGCUUUAACUAGAGGUCUCACUAUGUUUCCCAGGCUUGUCUCAAACUCCUGGGCUCAAGUGAUCUUUCCACCUUAGCUUCCCAAAGUGCUAGGAUUAUAAGCAUGAGCCACUGUGCCUGGCUCAACCUGUAUUUUGAUUCAUUCAUCUUUCAUUGAGCAUUUACUAAAUAGCAGCUAUAUGCUAGGCACUAUACUAAAUGUUAGGAAUCCAAAGGUUAGACACUUACAUUACUUCUCUUCAAGAAGCAGGAGAGUGAGCACUUACAAUAGUGUAAUAAUUACCAUACUAGAGAUACACUGUGAACUACAAAGAGGAUAGCUAUCCCUGAGGUGCGCCUGCAAAAGUAUCACAGAGUAGGCUUGCUUGAGCUGAGAAGGUCAGGUGGGAGCUGAAAGGGGGUGACAUUUUAGGCAAAGAAACAGUGAAAAAAAAUAGCAUCAGAGAAUAACAUUCUAAGAAUAGCAACUGCUCUGAGUUUGAUUCUGAUAAGGAGUCGUCUGUGGGAGGGAAAAUCAGCAAUGUGUGUUUUAAUAAACGAUCCAGCUGAUUCUGAUGCACAAUAAGGUUAGAAACCACCAAGCUAGGAUUUAGACAGGAGGUGAUGACAGCAAGGACAUCAGUUUCAGGAAAAAAUAUUUUACCCAGCAUAUACACUGACUAUCCACUGUCAUUUCCUAUUCCUUUUCAUUCCUCUAUUUACUCUGACCUGCAUGUUGUCAUGCUUCCUGCUUCCAGCUAAUUAUUAUCCUUCAAACACACUCCUCUCCUUGGAUGGUUCCUAUUCACUAUAUUCCUCUCAGACCCCAAAUCCUAUUAUCCUCUCCAUUCACUUUUACUUGAUUUUACUUGCCACCUAUGUUUCAGGCCCCUGCAUGUUUCUCCCAAACUUUUACCUCCCUCCCCAUCUCUGUUCUCCAGUCUCUCUAAUUAUCCUUGGCAUAUCUAUAGUCCCCUCAUUUAUCCUUCUUCCCUUACACAGUAUUGCUAACUUAUCUCUUGAGCUCUAUUUUUGCCUUUUCUUCUCUUAAUCUACUCUCAAACAACUUGUUCUGCUGGUAUCUUCCUUAAUUCUUAAUUUCUUCCUUACAUUGUGACUCUGUGCUAUGAUGAUACCAAAAAUAAGAUGGUACCAAAUAUUUGAUAUGUGUGUUGUAUGUGACUUCUCAUUAUUUUAUAACACAUUUAUAACAUUUAC